rnacentral:misc_RNA from 1 species
GUAUUGGAUUUUUAGCAAAAAUCAAGUUGUUAGUCAAAUCAGUUUCCAACAAUUGCAAACAUGCAAGUUCUAAAAGCAGUUUUACAGCAUAGUUGCUAUGAACAACAUAGUAAACAAAAUGAAAUAUUCCCAUGUAGGGAGCUUGACUUGCAACUUGAUUUUUGCUAAAAAUCCAAUACUUUGAAUUUAUUUUUUUAAAUUAUUAAAGAAAAGAAAACUAACAAGCCUAUUUUCUUAUUUGUGUGAAGAGUUCUGGAGGUUUUCCAGUUCCUCCUGCACUGCCACCAAAAGCUGAGAAACCACCGGUUCCUUGUUGGUUGCCGCCUGCAUUACCGCUGAAAGCCGAGAAACCACCAACUCCCUGCUGGUUAUUGAAACCCCCAAAUCCACCACCUGCUCCAGCAAAACUACCACUUCCAGGAGCAGCAGCAGCAGCAAAACCACUGCUGGCUGAAGCCAUGCCACCAAAUCCACCAGCACCAGAAGCAACACCAGCAAACCCCCCACCACCAGAGGCCAAACCUGCAAAGCCACCACCAGUAGAACCAACACCAGCAAAUCCACCACCAGUUGCAGCACUUGAAAAACCACCCAUGGAACUAGUACUAGCAAAGCCACUAGGUAAACCAGCACCAAAUUGUCUCGACUGCCCAAAAGAACCCAGAACUGAUCCCAGUGCUGCUUGACCUGCUCCAAUCUGUGCUGGCUGGCCAAACCCACCUGGUGCAGGACCUUGACCAACUGCUCCAGCACCAAAACCAACAGAGAAUGCACCCAGAUUUGUUGGCAGUGAUGGUUGGGAAGGCUCUGGCGAUUGAAAGCUAGAUGAAGCAGGCCGAAAGAGUUCUCCACUAGGCAGAGUCAUAUUGAAUGAAGAGCUUGCUUGAUUUGUUGCCACAUUUCCAAAUGAGCCACCAAAUGGAUUUGAUCUAGGAGCAGCCGAGCUAGGGGUUGAGCCAAGACCGAAAGCUCCAAAGUUGCCCAAACUAAUUUCAUUUGUGCGGCUAGUCUCAGGAGCCUCCUCCUCCAUUUCAUCCUCUUCCGUAAUUGCAACAUCCAAAUUUGCAUUCUUUCCACUAGCGGCGUCAUCAGAAGCUAGUGGUACCCCAAAAGGAACAUGUGCAUCAGCUGGCUGUUUAGGUUGCACAUUCAGCUCUACACCAGAUGCAGGACUUGCCACGCUCAAACUGGACUGAUUUCCAGACCCAAACCGACUUGAAAUUUCACUUGUAAGGAUGGAAGGCUUCAAAUUAAAUGCAGGAGGAUCAAGCUGCGUAUGAGGAACUGUUAUAGCAGUAUCAACAUCUGCUCUUGAGCUAAAUUUGUCUGCAGAAGGUUGCAGCUGUAUUUUAAUAGACUCUGAUGUAAAAUGAGAAGUUGGAUCAGAAGGUGGAGUUUUGCCUGCAGGGGGUUGAGGAACUGGUUUAGGAGAGACUGACGUUAAAGGUUGAGUGUGCAAAGGUGAUUGUGACUUGGGAGCCUGAACUGAGAAGGAACAAGAAGGGGAAACUGAAGAUGAAAAGGAUGUUAAAGGGACUGUUUGAUUAACAUCAAUGUUGUCUUUAGGAGUGAUCAAAGACGUGCCAAAUGGCUUUGCAGCCAACGAGGAUGGUCCAGUUGAAGAUGGAGUAGAUGCAGAAGAUGCAAUGUUUAAUGAUGAGCUAACCAUUGGAGAUGAAGAAACUGAAAGUGGCAUUGAGAAUGUUUGAAAAAAUGAUGUUUUUGCACCAGGUUGGCUUCCGCUAGCUGCAAUGUUGAACUGGGGAACUUUUCCAGGAUGGGAGGGACCUGCUGGAGCAGCAGUGUUGAGAAGAGGAAUCGACGAAUCAUAACUUUUUGUACUACUUGGUCCAUGAUUUACAGUUUCAAUAGUCGAAUUUGUAAGCACAGUCUCCCUCAUUUCACUUGACUUCAUCAUCAGUGGUGUCUGUGCAGGAAACUCAAUUGAGACUGAUGAUUUUUUAUGUGGGUUAGCUUCAGAUUGCUGAAUAGACUUGGUGUCAUCGAUCAACACAGAAUCAGACUUCCCAAUAGAGGAAACCAUACCACUUAAUUUAUCUGCAGUAAUAUUGCUAGUUUCCCUGGCAAGGAUUUGCGCUGUUACAGGCAAUGCUUGGGAUGGUGAAAUUGCUGGCAACACAGCAUUGCUACUGUGUGAUAUAGAAGGCCUCAACCCUGUAGCUUUAGAUGUGGGUUGAGAUGGUGGAGGAGAGUCAUUAGCCCAUUUAGAUGGAGUUGAUUUGUUAUCGAAGGCCUGUUUUGGAAGCAUAUACUGAAUACCUUUGUUUCCAGAUGGGUACAUGAAGGUGGAAGGAGAUGUGAGGUCCUUAGGGUGACUGACUGCUGAGCUAUCCACCAAAGAUGGGCCGAGUUGUUGCCUAUCCAUCAAGGAUGAUUUAUUCACACUUGUCUUUUGACUUUCUUGCAAAAGUACCCUCUUUACAGUUGUUUUUGCAGGUUCAAAACUCACCCAGCUCUGAUCCAGCGAGUCUCUCCUUCUCCUCACAGUUUCUGAAUCAGAACUAUUCAUAGCGCUUGAUUGGAGCCUUCUUGACUGAGAUUUAUUAGCAGCAGAACCAGAAGAAAUUAAAAGUGUCUUCAAUGAAGAGGAAUUGCCAACUUUUGUUGCAUCUGGAGAGCUGAAAGCGGGGUCAUAGGGGAUUCCAAUUGUUUCAAAGAGUUCCUUCUUCACAUUCUUUUGUUUUACAGGUGAUUCUAUGCUCAGUACAGCCAUUUGUUUUGAGAGGCGUUCUGAAAGUUGUUCAGCAGCUGCUAAUUGUGAAUAUGUUGUGUUAUGUAAAGUAUGCAAGGAUUGAACUUCUCUUGAAGGCCCAUAUCUAUUUUGAAAAGCUCUCCGACCUGUCACAUGAACUCCAGAAUCACCAAACUUAUGGAGUUCAAGGGUAUUGAAGUGCCUCUCCAAUUCAAUUAACCGAUUGGUCAAAACCUGAUUUAGUUUUAAUAUAUGGCGCCUCUUCAGCUCAAGUUCAGAACUCAACUUUUGGCGAUUCCAGAGUUCCCAAUAUUGGUUAUCAGAGGCUUGCUUAACAAUACCAUCAAUGUAUAUUUUCCUUGCCAGAACUUGCACAGUUUUAUCCAGAAGAUGUCUGAUCUCUCCAAGCUGCUCAUUCAUCAUGCUCGUCCACAUUCUGCAUUUUUCAGAAAGAGUUUGCAUGUGCUCCUCCAAAGCUUCAAUUGAACCCCUUUGGGAAACAGUGCAGGCAUCCCUGAAGCCACCUGGUUCUUCAAUAGAUUGCAAAAGUGAAUCCAAUUCUUUGGCCAUCUCUUUAAUAUUGCCAAAUUGUCUUGAUAAGUAUGACUUAGAAUUUGAUAGGGAUGGAGCUCUAUGAGCAUCCUUUGAAGAAAAAGGACUACGGUUGGCAAACCCUCCCAAAGCAAAGGUUUCUUGAGAUGGUAACUGUGAAUUACGAAUAGAAGGCAAUGGCUCAAUUGUCCCUGUCAUCACUGAAGCCUUCUGUCCCACAAUCUGGGUGGGUCUAAUGGAUAAAUUUGUUGAAGGAGAUUCAUAGAUAAUAUCCUUAAAGUGAAAACGUUUUCCAGUAAGGUCCACGGGAAUAUUUCCAGCAUCAACACUAAUGCCAGUUUUAUCAGAUUUAUUUCCUUGAAUUAGAGAAGGUAAAAAUGGACCUCUGCUUUCAUAACACCCUGAAAACAUAACCUUUUCACUUGACAAUGACUGAGAUG